UGUGUUGUCAUUCUUGCCGAACAAGCGUAACUUAGUUGAGCGAUAGCAUUGAUACCAAAACAAAGCAAUGUGCAAUAUUCAGUUGAAUAGAUUGUCUGUUUUAUUUCCAUCAUUACUAUUUUCGAGUAAAACGACAUUUUUAACGUAUUCUUCUUACUUUGUAAAAAGUUUCGCUGUAAAUAAUCAGACAAAUACGAAUACAUAAUUUAAAGCGAACUAUUACUUUGUUCAAACAACUGAUUAAUUUCAAAAUAUAUAGACAGAAGUUCGAAAUAUGCAUAAAGAUCCUAAGUACACCCAAGCAGGGGGCAACAUUUUCGCAAAUUCGUUAAAGUAAUAUCGCGUAAUGCACUUCGUAUUAUUCAGGAAAUUCUGUUAAUAGCAGAUUGACUAGAAUGGACGGAUAAGAUUUUUAACUCGUGAAGGGUGGAAUAUUAUCAAAAUAGCACUACUUAGAGCCGACCCUAACUUGACUGUGAAUAUGAUUGUAUAAGAUUUAUUGAUUUAUUUUUUGUAAUGUCAAAUAAACUUAAAAGAUAUUGUGAAGGAAUUGAGUGAGCGGUUGAACCAUUUGCAUAAAUUUAAAGUUGCGCUCAUUACCCCAAUCAGGAAGUCUUAAAUAGUUUCAAAAAAAUCGGUUUUUAGUUCAAAAAAUAUAAUGUAGUAGUGAAAAUAGAAGCAGUCAGCUGGAAAAUAUAUACGUUUUAUAUUCAUUUUUUCCCAAUGCUUAUUUUAAGAGUUUGUUUCAAAGUAGCUUUGGAUUAUAGUACGGGAAAUUUGAUUUUUUUUUUUUUGGUCGUGGAAGCUUGCUGACAGGCAACUACCUGUUUUUCUAAAUGUAAUCAACUAAAUCACAGCACGAUUGUUUUGUAUAAAAAACAAUUCUUUACAUAUGUACAUAUAUCUCAGAAGUACCAUCUAGAUCACCUGAAGAGCAUGUUUUGCACCAAUAAUAAAAUCGCUAAUGUGUAUUAAUUGUUGAAGGCCACAAUGUUUCUGGUAAGUCCAUAAGCCGAGGUAGACUGCGCGUUCCAUCGAUAUGACAAUCACUAUGGUCCG